UACGAAGGGGGCAAGCGUUGUUCGGAAUUACUGGCGUAAAGGGCGCGCAGGCGGCCUGCCAAGUCAGAUGUGAAAGCCCCGGGCUCAACCUGGGAAUAGCAUUUGGGACUGGUGGGCUAGAGAUCGGGAGAGGAGAGUGGAAUUCCCAGUGUAGAGGUGAAAUUCGUAGAUAUUGGGAAGAACACCGGUGGCGAAGGCGGCUCACUGGCUCGUAACUGACGCUCAUGCACGACAGCGUGGGGAUCAAACAGG
rnacentral:rRNA from 1 species